CAUAUGAAGGUCAGGCUGAAGACCUUACCCCGACUUUAGCUGAGAGGUGGUGCAUGGCCGUCGUCAGUUCGUACUGUGAAGCAUCCUGUUAAGUCAGGCAACGAGCGAGACCCACGUCCACAGUUGCCAGCAUACCCUCCGGGAUGAUGGGUACACUGUGGAGACCGCCGCUGCUAAAGCGGAGGAAGGAGUGGGCAACGGUAGGUCAGUAUGCCCCGAAUCUCCCGGGCUACACGCGGGCUACAAUGGUUGGUACAAUGGGCAUCUACCCCGAAAGGGGAAGGAAAUCUCUUAAAGCCAAUCGUAGUUCGGAUUGAGGGCUGCAACUCGCCCUCAUGAAGCUGGAAUCCGUAGUAAUCGCGUUUCAACAGAACGCGGUGAAUACGUCCCUGCUCCUU
rnacentral:rRNA from 1 species